rnacentral:rRNA from 1 species
UACGUAGGGUCCGAGCGUUGUCCGGAGUUACUGGGCGUAAAGCGUGCGCAGGCGGUUCGUUGUGUCGGUGGUGAAAGCCCCGGGCUCAACCUGGGAAUGGCCAUGGAAACUGGCGAACUGGAGUGUGGCAGAGGGGGGUGGAAUUCCGCGUGUAGCAGUGAAAUGCGUAGAGAUGCGGAGGAACACCGAUGGCGAAGGCAGCCCCCUGGGCUAGCACUGACGCUCAGGCACGAAAGCGUGGGGAGCAAACAGG